UGGGGAAUAUUGGACAAUGGGCGAAAGCCUGAUCCAGCCAUGCCGCUUGUGUGAAGAAGGUCUUCGGAUUGUAAAGCACUUUAAGUUGGGAGGAAGGGCAGUAAGCGAAUACCUUGCUGUUUUGACGUUACCGACAGAAUAAGCACCGGCUAACUCUGUGCCAGCAGCCGCGGUAAUACAGCGGGUGCAAGCGUUAAUCGGAAUUACUGGGCGUAAAGCGCGCGUAGGUGGUUCGUUAAGUUUAAUGUGAAAGCCCCGGGCUCAACCUGGGAACUGCAACCAAAACUGGCGAGCUAGAGUAGGGCAGAGGGUGGUGGAAUUUCCUGUGUAGAGGUGAAAUGCGUAGAUAUAGGAAGGAACACCAGUGGAGAAGGCGACCACCUGGGCUCUUAAUGACACUGAGGUGCGAAAGCGUGGGGAGCAAACAGG
rnacentral:rRNA from 1 species